AAAAUUCUUUUAUGGGAGGGACAAAGACUAUUUUGAUUGAUGGACUCUGAUAUCUUUUCUAUUAUUCCUUUAAAAAUGGUUUUGCUUUUUUUUUUUUUUUUGCCUUUUUGAGAUUAUUGUUUUGAUAUAAAGUUGUCGAUGGAUAUAAAAUAUGAUACUGAAAUGCUUCCUCUUUCUUUAGUCUAGCAAAAUGAUUUGGUACUAGAAUCAUAGUUUCUUCUUCUUUAGGAAUAUUUUGAGCCCUUAUUAUGUAGGAAAGAUGGAUGAAGUCUUUCCAACCUUGAUCAUUGUGUUUGAU
rnacentral:lncRNA from 1 species